AAGUCGUAACAAGGUUUCCGUAGGUGAACCUGCGGAAGGAUCAUUACCAAAAUUGUGCGUUCAUUCACACAUUUUUACCCAAUCGAGUCUGCAGUCAAGAUUGGUGAACAAGUCUUUAACUUCGUAUGGAGAUGAAGCAAACAACCUAGGCCGGUAUAGUCUACCUAGACCGUCAGCCCGCUGUAAGCUGUCGCAGUAGUCGGUAUGGAGAGCCUCGGUCAAUCAAUUGACUGAAAUGGCUAGCAACUGUGCUUUUGCACAACGAGUUUCUCGUAAACUCUGUGAUUAGAAAGCAACAAACAAAGCAGUACAACUGCAAACGGUGGAUCACUCGGCUC
rnacentral:misc_RNA from 1 species